GAUGAACGCUGGCGGCGUGCCUAAUACAUGCAAGUCGAGCGAACAGACGAGGUGCUUGCUCCUCUGACGUUAGCGGCGGACGGGUGAGUAACACGUGGAUAACCUACCUAUAAGACUGGGAUAACUUCGGGAAACCGGAGCUAAUACCGGAUAAUAUAUUGAACCGCAUGGUUCAAUAGUGAAAGACGGUUUUGCUGUCACUUAUAGAUGUAUCCGCGCCGCAUUAGCUAGUUGGUAAGGUAACGGCUUACCAAGGCAACGAUGCGUAGCCGACCUGAGAGGGUGAUAGGCCACACUGGAACGGAGACACGGUCCAGACUCCUACGGGAGGCAGCAGUAGGGAAUCUGCCGCAGUGGGCGAAAGCUUGACGGAGCAACGCGGCGUGAGUGAUGAAGGUCUUCGGAUCGUAAAACUCUGUUAUUAGGGAAGAACAAAUGUGUAAGUAACUAUGCACGUCUUGACGGUACCUAAUCAGAAAGCCACGGCUAACUACGUG
rnacentral:rRNA from 1 species